rnacentral:rRNA from 1 species
UAAUACUCCAUAGUCGACGAGAUCUGGAAAGACUUGUGGCUCAAAGUUCAGGCGCUCUAGGAUUGGUCUGCGGCCUAUCAGGUAGUAGUGGGUGUAACGGACCCACUAGCCGAUGACGGGUAUGGGCCUUGAGAGAGGGAGCCCAGAGAUGGAUUCUGAGACACGAAUCCAGGCCCUACGGGGCGCAGCAAUCGCGAAAACUUCACAAUGGAGGCAACUCCGAUGAGGGAAUUCCUAGUGCCAAUGCAUUUUGUGUUGGCUUUUCUUCAGCGUAGAUAACUGAUGGAAUAAGGGCUGGGUAAGACGGGUGCCAGCCGCCGCGGUAAUACCCGCAGCCCAAGUGGUGGUCGAUAUUAUUGAGUCUAAAACGUUCGUAGCCGGUUCAAUAAAUCUCUGGGUAAAUCGGAGGGCUCAACCUUCCGAAUUCCGGAGCGACUGUUGAACUUGGGACCGGGAGAGGCAAGAGGUACUUCUGGGGUAGGGGUAAAAUCCUGUAAUCCUAGAAGGACCACCGGUGGCGAAGGCGUCUUGCUAGAACGGAUCCGACGGUGAGGGACGAAGCCCUGGGUCGCAAACGGGAUUAGAUACCCCGGUAGUCCAGGGUGUAACGCUGCAGACUUGGUGU